GGGGAAUCUUGCACAAUGGGGGCAACCCUGAUGCAGCGACGCCGCGUGAGCGAUGAAGCCCUUCGGGGCGUAAAGCUCUUUCGACCGGAACGAUAAUGACGGUACCGGGAGAAGAAGCUGCGGCUAACUACGUGCCAGCAGCCGCGGUAAUACGUAGGCAGCAAGCGUUGUUCGGAGUUACUGGGCGUAAAGAGUGCGUAGGCGGUUUUCUAAGUUCGGUGUGAAAUCUCCCGGCUUAACUGGGAGGGUGCGCCGAAGACUGGGAAGCUGGAGUGUGGGAAAGGCAGGCGGAAUUCCUGGUGUAGCGGUGAAAUGCGUAGAUAUCAGGAGGAACACCCAUGGCGAAGGCAAGCUCCUGGCCGAUGACUGACGCUGAGGUGCGAAAGUGU
rnacentral:rRNA from 1 species